GACGAACGCUGGCGGCGUGCCUAAUACAUGCAAGUCGAGCGAAUCAUUGGGAGCUUGCUCCCGAUGGUUAGCGGCGGACGGGUGAGUAACACGUGGGCAACCUGCCUGUAAGACUGGGAUAACACCGGGAAACCGGUGCUAAUACCGGAUAAUCCUUUUCCUCUCAUGAGGAAAAGCUGAAAGUCGGUUUCGGCUGACACUUACAGAUGGGCCCGCGGCGCAUUAGCUAGUUGGUGAGGUAACGGCUCACCAAGGCGACGAUGCGUAGCCGACCUGAGAGGGUGAUCGGCCACACUGGGACUGAGACACGGCCCAGACUCCUACGGGAGGCAGCAGUAGGGAAUCUUCCACAAUGGACGAAAGUCUGAUGGAGCAACGCCGCGUGAGCGAUGAAGGCCUUCGGGUCGUAAAGCUCUGUAGUUAGGGAAGAACAAGUACCGGAGUAACUGCCGGUACCUUGACGGUACCUAACCAGAAAGCCACGGCUAACUACGUGCCAGCAGCCGCCGUAAAAC
rnacentral:rRNA from 1 species